GAUGAACGCUGGCGGCGUGCUUAAUACAUGCAAGUCGAACGGAAGGGCCCUGCUCUUGCGGGGUGCUCGAGUGGCGAACGGGGGAGUAACACGCGUGUAACCCGUCCCUGACUUUGGGAUAACUUUAGGAAACUGGGGCGCAUAUCGGAUAGGAGCUCCUGCUGCACGGUGGGGGUUGGUAAGUUUCGGCGGUUGUGGAUAGAUUAGCUGCUUAUCCGCUUCAUGGUGGGGUAGUGGCUUACCAAGGCUUCGACGGGUAGCCGGCCUGAGAGCGUGACCGGCCACAUUGGUACUGAGAUAGGGCCCAGUCUCCAACGGGAGGCAGCAGUGGAGAAUAUUGCAGAGUGGGCGGGAGCGUGAUACGGCAACGCCGGGUGCGUGAUGACGGCCUACGGGUUGUAAACCGCUUUCGCCUGUGACGAGGCGUGAGUGACGGUAAUGGGUAAAGAAGCACCGGCUAACUACGUG
rnacentral:rRNA from 1 species